rnacentral:tRNA from 1 species
CUAGUAUUCUACAUUAAACUACUC